GUUCAGCAAGGGGUAGUUUAUCCUGCCCUGGCUUCUGGUAACACAACACUCGCGAUGGCCUGUUCUGCGUGCGAUGGGGACUGUCCUGAUCAACAGACAGAACGCUAUGAGGCACAUGCCAUCCUGGUGACCUCCUGUUGCUUCAGUACAGCUCCUUGAAGUACUGCAUGCCAGAGUGAAAUCAUUACUCUGCCUCCUUGUAACACACUGCCCCUAGUAACCAGAGACCAGAGGACCAGGACCAGAGGUCACACAGUUGAAAAUCGAGUGAAGACUAGGACAGAGG